GUUGUAUGGUUAAGUGACUAAGCGUACACGGUGGAUGCCUGGGCAGUCAGAGGCGAUGAAGGACGUACUAACUUGCGAUAAGCGUAGAUGAGGCAGUAAGAGCCACUUGAGUCUACGAUUUCCGAAUGGGGAAACCCAACUGCAUAAGCAGUUAUCUCAAUGUGAAUUCAUAGCAUUGUGAGGCGAACCGGGGGAACUGAAACAUCUAAGUACCCCGAGGAAGAGAAAUCAACCGAGAUUCCGGCAGUAGCGGCGAGCGAAACCGGAUUAGCCC
rnacentral:rRNA from 1 species